rnacentral:tRNA from 1 species
GCCUUCUUAGCUCAGUGGUAGAGCACUGGUCUCGUAAACCUGGGGUCGUGAGUUCAAACCUCACAGGAGGCA